AUCCUUUUGUAGUUUGUAAGCACGAUGAUUGGGGUUCAUGCUUGUGUGUGAGAUGGCCUCCCUUAAAUCUUGUUAUGAUGUCAGCACAUUACCCAUCUGAUG
rnacentral:snoRNA from 1 species